CUGAUAGUCACACACAGACUCAAUGACCAACAUACUCUCACUGAUUUGACAGACACACACUCAUACACUGACAAACACACUCAUCAUACACUGAUAGACACACUCAUACACUCACAUGCACACACUCAUACAAUCACUCACAGACACACUCACUCACACACACACACACACACAGUCACUCACAGACACACACAGACGCACACAGUCAC